UUUAUCUUCAGUGGAAAUAUACAACUAUAGGAAGGAUUAUUCUCAGCAUUUAAUUCUCAUAAUAACAAUACUAGUAGCAGCAGUCAAUACUUCUAUAAUGCAUACCAUGUGCCAGACACUAUCCUAAGACUGUAUGUUAUAUAUGUAUGAGGUUUAUCCUCCUCAUAAACCUAUGAGAUAAGCCUUAUUAUUAUUCUCAUAUUACAAAUGAGAAAACUGAGGCACUGAGAGGUUAAGCAUAAUAACCCAAGGUCACGCAAUCAGUAAUUGUUGAUGCCACUGGCUGAGUUAAUGCUGGAACUUUAGAGUAGGCAAGUUAAAUAAUGUCUUGCAGAUUGGCCUUAAAAUGAGCAAAAUUUAAUUAAUGCCUUAUAAAGUCCCAGAAAGCAAAGGAACAUUUUGUAUUGAAUGUGAACUACUAAGGCACGUAUCCGUAACUAAGUAUGAUUGAUUCCUAUGGAAUGAAGUUAUUUCUCAUUACUCUGGUCUUUUGAAAGAGAAAUAUUGUUUUAGUGUUUCACAUUUUUUUCAUUCAUUCACAUAUUUCCUCAUUUAUUCAAUAUACAUGUCCGGAGCACCUUCCAUGUUGAAAGCCCUGGAAGAUUCAGUGAUGAACAAGAGAGCAUAGAGCCCUUGCUCUUAAACAAAUGCCCCAGAGGUGGGGGGAGGCAGAGUAACCACGUAAACAGAUUUCACAUGGUGACAGAAAUCCAACUGGACAAUGGCAUAGGGAGGCACUGAGGAGGCAGGUCUCUUUGUCCAAGAUAGUAGUGGCGACGUUUGAACUGACACUUGAGGAUCAGAGGGAAACUGGUCUAGGUAGAAGAAUCAGCAGAUGCCGAGCUGUGAGACAGCAACAAGCCAAGCUUGUCACCUCGGACGGCAAGAAAAGGGCAAAUGUGCCCAGAACUGGGUGAGGGUCGUGGGAAGGUAUAGGAAGUGGCCAGAGCACAUGGUGCCUGCAAGCCUUGCUAAGGAUUUUAUAUUUUAGUCUCUUCACAACCAAUUGCCUUUAGCGGUUAGAAGCAGGCCAAUGAUAUCUGAUUUGUCCUUUUUAAAAGAUCACCUUGACUGUUGAGUCUCUUACAAGCACAAAAGAGCUAUGCCUCUACGAAGUAUGGACAAUAAAUUUUAAAAAGCCCAACGAGCUCAUAAAUAGUUGGUUCACUAAUUAUCAUCAUUAGUCUCAACCAGACUGGAUUAAUAUAAUUAUAAUUAAUAUAAGCUUGGUGACUCUGGGGUCCUGGGACAUAUUAGAUUAGGGAAACCCAACUAUUUGCAAAUAGUGUGAUUUGAAAAAUUCUCAAACUUGUUGGGGUUCAUGAAUAUUACUUUAUUACUGGGGGCUGCAUGAGAGGGUUAGAGUAAGAAAAGAGGAUAUGAUAGUUGGAUCUUCUGCCUAUUUGCCCUGUCUGUGGGAGAAGCCAUGGGAGGGGGGUGACUACUCUACCGCUGACAAAGUGCUUAAAUUUCAGAACUAGUUCAAUCCAGUGAGUAUUUGCUGAAAAACUACUAUACGUUGGACACCUAGCUGAGACUGCGAAUACAAAGUGAACAAUUAAUCAGAGCAGCUAUUACUAAUAGGAGCCGGCACUGUGCAAAUGCUUAACAUGCACCAUCUCAUGUUCCAUUAAUCUACACAUCAACUCUAUGGGGUCAGUUCAUUUAUUAUCCCAUUUUCCAGAUGAGAAAUCUGAUGUUUUUAAGAGGCUUUGGUGAUUUCUCCAACGUUCUCUACACAGCUGGUCAGGGUGUAGGCAGUAUUUGGACUCAGAAGAUCUGAUAUCAGAGCCAACUCUCUUAACCAUUAUACUCGACUGUCUGCAAGGACCCUACUUGAGAAGUUCAAAAUUAUACAUAUAUCGGUACAAGCGACCCUAAGACUGCCUGGCACAAACUAACUGCUUGAGAGGGCCUGGGUUUAUGUAAGAGGCGCUUGGAGUGGUGAAGACUGUGAGAGUCACAAAAAUGUGUUCUCUGUACCAAAGGGCAACAGAAAUAAGAAAGAAUUAGCGUAGGGCAGUGAGGUCGGCAAACAGCAUGAUGUUGAGGACCAAGAAGCAGCAUUUCUUUUUUUUCUUAUAAUUAUUACAUUAUGUCUACUUCACAGUUAUCAGAAAGAAGUCAUAGUAUAGUAAACAGUGUAGACACACCUAUCCUUGAAUCCUGGCAGAGGCAGAGUAUAUAAUGCAAGACUGGCACCUAGGUGUAGUUAAAUAAGCUUUCAUUUUUCUUUAGCCUUCAAGCAAAACAGUUUUCUGAUAUGCAUAAUUCAGAAAAAUCGAGAAAAUAUUUAAAGCACGCUAUCUCAGAGGAAAGCAAUUUUGCAAAAGAUCUACCAGCAGAAGCAAGUCCAACCACACCAAUGGUUUAGUGAGAUUUGUACUGAUAUGGCAUCAUAUCUCAUGUUGUUUCUUUAUGCAUUUUUCUGGAAAAAGGCUCACAGAGUUCAUAAUUUGCAGAGAUAAAGACUCACACUGACGUGGCAGAAAGAGCUUUGCUCUGGAUUUAGAUCAGUUUAGGUUUUGCUAUGUACUAGAAUUAGGUAACAUUCAUAAUCUUUCUGAGCCUGUUUCCUAUCUGCAAACAGGAGUAACACUACUACAGAGGGAUUGUUUAAAUUAAAGGGCACGUACAAAUGCUAUAUAUCCUUCCAGGCUGCGAGAAAAUGCCUCGUAAAGGGUAAGUGAUCUACAUACACUCUGCUUCCUUGAAACCGAUGAAAGCUGUUCUCAUGUUCUUCACCCUAUUUCUCAGCCAAUGGUCUAAAUAUGAAGGCAAUGUUUAGUUAAAAAUUCUUUCCAUUCUUUCACUGUCCAUCUGCAUUUCCAACAUAUUCUUGACGAAUCAAGUCUCAAUAUUAGUAAUAAUUAUCACUUAAGCUAUUACUGUUCACAUGUUUAAGAUAUUUCCAUGUGAGAUAAAUCAUUAUUCAGACAGAUGGCUAAGCUGGUUUUGUCAAAGAUUUCAAUGAGAUAUAAAUACAUCUUAAUCAGAGUUAACUUUCAAAGAAGAGGAGAGCAAUGAUUCAAGAUGUGGAUAGAAAAACCUUUUGUACAAAAUGUUAUCAAAUAUAUUAAAUCCCUGGAAAAUUAUCUGUGGUGCCAUUUGGGUUUCUAGUUUAUAAAGUACAGCUUCCCUAAAACUAAACUAUUAUCAUUUCUACCCAUCUUCUGUUUUAAUACCCUCAAAACAUGGCUUUUAAUUAACAGUUAAGCUAACUGCUAUUACAUUCAUUCUUCUUUCCUCUUUCUCUGAUUAUAACAAGUAUCACUUGACUCACGAUGAAAUGGGCUUUCUGAAUAUGAGGAAGGGGUCGAGGAGGAAAAUAGGAUACGUAGGGUACAAUGGUCACACAUAGAGUUAGUGGAAGCUUUAGCAGUAACAAAACUAGUGAAAUUAGAGUUAGUUAAUUAGUAGUCAGGAAAAUUUUGUCAUGUAUUACCAUUAAUUGGCCAACUAGACUAAUUAGGCUCACAAACAAUAAAAAGCAAAGAAUGGAAAAUCUAUUGUUUUUGCCAGCUUCCUCUGCUAGUUAUCAGAGCAAUUUUCUCCUAGUUUAUGAGACAAUAACAAUCUAGUGUUCAAAUUUAAACAUUAUCACUAUAAGAUAUGGAGAUAUGUGAAACUUACUAUACUUUCUUCAUAAAUCUAGUAUUAUAGUAUCAUAAAUUCCACAGUAAAAACAACUUAGGAGAAAUGUAAAAUUUGUGCAAACUACAAUAAUUUUUUUAAACUUUGAAAAAAUUAAAAAAGAUUGCUGACUACACCUUGGCACCCUUUCCUUUGUAGACUAUGUUAGAGCCAGGCUUUCCUUGACUGAGAGCUACUGUACUACAGCGAAAGCCUCUAUUCAUAUUCAUAAUCAUCAGGCAAAUCAGGGAGCUGACUUGCUUAGAAUCAGACCUGGGAGCCAUCUGUUUGAAAUGUAAUCAAGAAAGAUAGGACCCCCGUUCUCUGUGGGAGGUAUUGAGUGAUGAUCAGUUGCAUGACUAACUAGAGACGAAGCUGCUCAAACAUUGUUUAACCCACGAGAAGUCUUUUAUAUGACACAGCAGCUCAGUAAGUAAGGGUUGAAUGAAUGAGAGGACAGAUCCCCUUCACACACUAUCAUAAUGAUUGAAUGCUUCUGUAAGAAUCUGAGGUUUAAUUUUGUGGUCAAGUGCUUAAGAUGGAAAUGGAAGUCAAUACUCCCAUUUGACUUAUAAAAUGACCUCUGUCCUCAGCAGAUAGUUAAAAAGGUUAGUUUUAGUGGCCAGCCUGGUGGCAUAGUGGUUAAGUUUGCACGCUCCGCUUCGGUGGUCUGGGGUUCUCAGGGUUCGGAUCCUGGGCAUGGACCUAUACACUGCCUAUCAAGCCAUGCUGUGGUGGUGUCCCACAUACAAAAUAGAGGAAGACUGGCAUAGAUGUUAGCUCAGUGACAAUCUUCCUCAAGCAAAAAGAGGAAGACUGGCAACAGAUGUUAGCUCAGGGCCAAUCUUCCUCACCAAAAAAAAAGGGGAGAGAGAGACAGAGAGGUUAGUUUCACCAGUGGUUGCAGAAAACAUACUAAAUGGGUUAGAAGAACCAAGAUAUUUAUGACAUAUAUUUCAUUGAUUUGAGAACUUAGUGAACAGGUAUUACCUGUAAGGACAAUCAGAUGCCAGUUUCAAUGAUGAGACUGAACUGCAUGGUUUCAAACUCGGCCCCACACCUUGUUAAUUUUGGCUUGCUUCAUAAUGCUUCCUGAUGUGGCCACACAGCCCCUUAUUUUGAGGUAAUAGGUGAUUUGACUGUGCAUGUUUUGGGUUUUUUUUAACAUUACAUAGAAAGCUAGAGUCAAAAGUUGGUAUGCAGUAUGCUAAAUAUGAUACUUUGGGUAUAUUGCUAUUUAUGAUAAACUCAGAUUUACGGAAGUUUACCUCAAACUGAGAAAAAAUGCUAAUUAGAAUUUUCCCCUUAAAUGUAAUUACUGACAAUCUCUUCUUCCUUAACCUUAUGACCUUACAUCUAGGCUGCUUAUUUGUACAAGAUACCAAAGUUGUUACCACUGGAGCAUGCCAUCAAAGAGACAGAUUGUCCAACUGCAGUCAAGAAACCACUCGUGGUUUUGGCAUGAUCACAAAAUUAGCAGUUUUAGUGCAUUAGUUGCUAUAUUAGACAAAGCUCUGGAUUUCAUUCGCUAUUCAGGAAAUCUUCAUUGUAUAAAGAGAACCACUGUGUGGCCAGUGGGCUGGGCCAACUUUUGCAAACUAUAGCAAACCUGGGUUCAUAAAAUAAUUUAAGAGGCAUUCCUGAUCUAAACUCAAACAGAAUGGGAUUAAAUACAUAAAUCCUUGCAGGAGUUUCGACAAUGAAAUGAUCGGUCACUUAGGAUGGCAAUUCAGCUUAACAAAUGCGGCAAUGAGAGGGAUUAAAUACACCCUUUCUGAGAAAGACGUCACGGUGACGUCUAUUGAUGCUAUCAGUGUUUCCACAGGCUGUGUCCAGGAGAUUAUAGUCAGUAUCACAGAAUAACACCGAAAAUACACAAUUGAGUCUUUAUAAGGAGUCAGAAAAAUAUAUUAAAUCUCUCCUGGCAAGGAGAACUGAGUUCUUUUAUUGAAUAUAACCACUAUUUUCACUACAGAAUUAUCAUGAAUUGUUAUUAAUAUUUUCCUAUUAAAUAAAUGAUUAUUAUACGCGGGGAAGACAGAAGGGCAUCACGUCAGCAUUCCAUCACUAAAAGCCAAUCAGGACACAAAAGCUGCUAAAUUUACACGAGGAAUUCUCACUUCCGAUCUUAAGAUUAUGCUAAUUUAUCCCCAUUUUUCAGCAAACCUCUCUAUUAAACUUACUGUUUCUUAUCCCUCACUAUAUCAGAACUAUUUCAAAAGAGAUCUUGUUAGUCAUCUCCCUAAAAAAAAAGAAAUCCAAGCCGUGCGUUUUUUCUGAAAUCUUUGGAGGUUGCUAUGACAAUGGUAUUUCUAGCUCAGCCCACAAUUCACAUUCUUCAGCUCUAACUCAAAGUCACCUGAUUUGACUCGCUAGGUGUCAUCUUCAAAAAUUCCAAAAGAUAUUCCCAAAGUUUUCUCCAGAGAUUGGGACUGGAAAAACAACAGCAUUAUUAAAUGCUGGGGAACUUUAAAAAAAUCAUUUCUAUUUUGAGCACCCUAACACAGCCGUCUUCAUUUUGCAUAAUCCCUUUUUCUUAACAAGGAUGCACGUUCUUACAUGGUUGCAUUACAGCAGACACACUGUUUUGCUUUAUUGCUCCACUAUUUCCAAUAGUGAAAGCAUUUUGCAUAUAUUACAGUUUGGGGGAUUAUUUCAAUAUUAAAGAAUACCUGAUAUUUAGUGGAUGUAACCCAUAAUUAAUUUAAUCGGGUCCUUAUUACUAGCUAUUUAAUUUGUGUUCAUUUUUUUCCUAUUACAGAUAAAUUCACAAGUAACAUUAUUAUGAGUAGAAUUUUUUCUUCUAAGGAAUUGUUUCUUUAGAACAAUUUAAUAAGAGUGAGACGAGGUUAUGGUUUGUUUGGGUUGUAUUUAUAGUAUUUAUAAAAGUGUAAAUCUGAAUGUGUUCAGGUGAGGCCUGUAUUCUCCAUGGCCUACCCCCAGGCCACACUCCACAUUUAUAUUACUUGCCUGACCCCUGAAAGCAUUUGAAUUUUUGACUCCUGGAUUACUGGGUCAAAGGUUUAAGCAUUUUUAUAACUUUCAAUAAAUAUUAUCAUUUAACUCCUCAAAACCAGUCAUACCUAUAUUUCAAUGUUACCAAGUUUCAUUAGAGUGCUUUCUACAUGCUGGGUGCUGUACAGGCAUUGGGGACACCAUGAUGAAAUAAGACAAUGAACAGGGAGUGACAACACAGUGUGAUGUAACAGCACUUGGAAUAGGGCGAACCCAUGAGAAGGGCAGAAACCAGCCCUCCCCAAACAGGGUCGUUACAUGGCGGAGGGGUGGCAGGCAGGUGACAUAUGGCAGAAUGAGAGAAUUUCAGGUACCACAUGCAGUGGCCUAGAAGAUAUAAAGCAAAGCACAUGUUAAGUAUUAUGAGAACAUGGAGGGUUGAAAAUGUUGAAAGACAUGAAUACUAAUGAAUAUAGAUAAGAGUUUUAUAACAACAGAGCCAUCAUUAGAUGUCACUUAAUAAUUUUUGUCUAACUUAUUAAAUGUAUAAGCAUAUAAUAGUAAAGUGGCUGUAAUAUGCAUCGCAUAUGAGAAAAUCAAAUUCCUGGCAUAAUCAAUAGAAAGAAAAGUGGCACAGAGAUAACUUGAGAGAAGAGAGGCUUGUGGGGCCUGAUGGCAGCACGGGCCUAUGUGUACAAGAGGAGGUGAAGGAGCUGCAGCCAUAGGUUGGCACAGCUGAAGUACCUGGAGUGCCAGGCUAAGGCGUUUACCUUGGACUUAUUCAGU
rnacentral:lncRNA from 1 species